CGCGGGUCGAGUGCUGUAGUUCGAUUUUUGCGUGUGUGCGUCGCCUGCGGCCUUUGUGCCUUUUUAUUGUUUGCUUACCUUUAUGAUAUAAAGACCUUAUUUCUUACAAGGAGGAAAAGACCGCUGACUUCAGAAACAGCGAGAACCCCAGCUCGUCCCCGCAUUCCCAGUUUACAGCUGAGGAAAUUAAGCUUCAAGUUGCCCAAGUUUAUAGAAUGAGUCAAUGGCAGAGGUUGAACUCAGAUGACAAAGUUGGGGUCUGGACGUGUGCAAGGACUUUUCCAAAGUCAGCUGGAAAGGAGCUGCUUAGCUGAGAGGUUCUGGCUCCAAAGUCUCCUGUGAAGUUGCAGUCAAGAUGUCUGCUGGGACCCCAGUCAUUUGAAGCCCUGUCUGGGGCAGGAGAAUCUAGGUCCAAAAUGGCCGUUGCAGGAGUCCUCAUCCACACCAUGUGGAGCCUCUUCAUAGAUGUUCGAGUGUCCUCAUGGUAUGGCCACUGGCUUUCCCCAAAGUAAGCAGUCCAAAAGAGGGUAAGACAGAGCCCACCCUGUCUUUUAUGAAUUAGCCUUGGAAGUGUAACACAGUUACUUCCACCACAUUCAUUAGUCGUUAGGUACAGCUCCCAUUCAUGGGGAGGAAAAUCAGGGCCUGUCUUUAGAUAGGAGAUGUAUCAAAGAAUUUGUGGACAUAUUUUAAAAUCACAGCACUAGUCUUGAUGUACUAAGUCAGUGACUCCCCCAGGAGUCUCACAGAGAAUUGACUCCUUGCCCAACUAUACUACCUUUGUGGGUAGAGACUCCAGUAGUGUGCUGGUUAAUGUUCAACCAGUGGCUUUCUGGAAAACAAAAUGUAUGGAUACAUAUAUGUGUUCUAAGUUUUACUGAUAUGAAGAAUGUGUAGCACAGAAUUUAUAAAUAAUAAAAUAUACAGUAUUAUUUAUUGUAAAUUCCAUAAAACCUAUUGUUUUUCACAAAAGGUUUUAGUUUAUUUUUCCCAAAUGCUUGUAUUGGUAACAUUUUCUGUAUUACUUUUU
rnacentral:antisense_RNA from 1 species